UCAACGCGUCGUCAAAUGACCAAUGAUGGACAGAUUUCGGGAAGAGCACGACAUAAAUCUCCAAAGAAUUAAACAUUCUCAAAAAGGUUUCAAGACCAGUGACAUGACUCCACAAAGACUGGAAUGGAGUACAUUCACUUUACUAUCCUGUAACAUGAAAUGGUGUGGAGAUGCCAGCACUUGAACCAAGGCUGCUUUGAAUUACAUUCAAAUCCUACCUCAACUCAUUACCACUGCUACAAAUUUGUUUUCCGCAAAAUGCAGAAUUUAUACUUCAGCGCAACUGUCCUUCAAAAACCAAGGCCUUGGAAACACAGAACAUAACUAUCAGCAAUCAAGACUGGCAGGUCAUGUUCAAGGUAGACCUGAACAUCUCUUUUUGUUCCCACCCUACUGAGAACCAUUGAAACACCAAAAAAUAUCAGUAGUACUAAGAAGAUAAUGGUAAAAUCUUUGAAUUACUAAGGGCUAUUACUCACCCUCUUACAUAUGCACAUGAGAAAUGAUACCAAUAUUCUUACCUAAAACUUCCUCAUAAUCAACAAGAUCAAACCAAACAACAGCUACCGAUGUCCAGACUCCCAGCAAUGCAAUGACCAUAAACCAUGUGAAGAAUGAGCUUCCAGAAAGGCCUCCUUUCCUCCCAUUCUUGUGUCCUCCAUGUUUUGU